GAUGAAGAACGUAGCGAAAUGCGAUAAGUAAUGUGAAUUGCAGAAUUCAGUGAAUCAUCGAAUCUUUGAACGCACAUUGCGCCCGCCAGCACUCUGGCGGGCAUGCCUGUUCGAGCGUCAUUUCAACCAUCAAGCCCCCAGGGGCUUGUGCUGGGGCCCUGCGGCUGCCCGCAGGCCCUGAAAACCAGUGGCGGGCUCGCUAGUCACACCGAGCGCAGUAGCACAUCUCGCUCAGGGCGUGCGGCGGGCUCCUGCCGUGAAACCCACCACUGUAACCCCAAAGGUUGACCUCGGAUCAGGUAGGAAUACCCGCUGAACUUAAGCAUAUCAAUAAGCGGAGGA
rnacentral:misc_RNA from 1 species